GGGUUGUGAGGUUAAGCGACUAAGCGUACACGGUGGAUGCCCUGGCAGUCAGAGGCGAUGAAGGACGUGCUAAUCUGCGAUAAGCGUCGGUAAGGUGAUAUGAACCGUUAUAACCGGCGAUUUCCGAAUGGGGAAACCCAGUGUGUUUCGACACACUAUCAUUAACUGAAUCCAUAGGUUAAUGAGGCGAACCGGGGGAACUGAAACAUCUAAGUACCCCGAGGAAAAGAAAUCAACCGAGAUUCCCCCAGUAGCGGCGAGCGAACGGGGAGCAGCCCAGAGCCUGAAUCAGUGUGUGUGUUAGUGGAAGCGUCUGGAAAGGCGCGCGAUACAGGGUGACAGCCCCGUACACAAAAAUGCACAUACUGUGAGCUCGAUGAGUAGGGCGGGACACGUGGUAUCCUGUCUGAAUAUGGGGGGACCAUCCUCCAAGGCUAAAUACUCCUGACUGACCGAUAGUGAACCAGUACCGUGAGGGAAAGGCGAAAAGAACCCCGGCGAGGGGAGUGAAAAAGAACCUGAAACCGUGUACGUACAAGCAGUGGGAGCACGCUUAGGCGUGUGACUGCGUACCUUUUGUAUAAUGGGUCAGCGACUUAUAUUCUGUAGCAAGGUUAACCGAAUAGGGGAGCCGAAGGGAAACCGAGUCUUAACUGGGCGUUAAGUUGCAGGGUAUAGACCCGAAACCCGGUGAUCUAGCCAUGGGCAGGUUGAAGGUUGGGUAACACUAACUGGAGGACCGAACCGACUAAUGUUGAAAAAUUAGCGGAUGACUUGUGGCUGGGGGUGAAAGGCCAAUCAAACCGGGAGAUAGCUGGUUCUCCCCGAAAGCUAUUUAGGUAGCGCCUCGUGAAUUCAUCUCCGGGGGUAGAGCACUGUUUCGGCAAGGGGGUCAUCCCGACUUACCAACCCGAUGCAAACUGCGAAUACCGGAGAAUGUUAUCACGGGAGACACACGGCGGGUGCUAACGUCCGUCGUGAAGAGGGAAACAACCCAGACCGCCAGCUAAGGUCCCAAAGUCAUGGUUAAGUGGGAAACGAUGUGGGAAGGCCCAGACAGCCAGGAUGUUGGCUUAGAAGCAGCCAUCAUUUAAAGAAAGCGUAAUAGCUCACUGGUCGAGUCGGCCUGCGCGGAAGAUGUAACGGGGCUAAACCAUGCACCGAAGCUGCGGCAGCGACGCUUAUGCGUUGUUGGGUAGGGGAGCGUUCUGUAAGCCUGUGAAGGUGUGCUGUGAGGCAUGCUGGAGGUAUCAGAAGUGCGAAUGCUGACAUAAGUAACGAUAAAGCGGGUGAAAAGCCCGCUCGCCGGAAGACCAAGGGUUCCUGUCCAACGUUAAUCGGGGCAGGGUGAGUCGACCCCUAAGGCGAGGCCGAAAGGCGUAGUCGAUGGGAAACAGGUUAAUAUUCCUGUACUUGGUGUUACUGCGAAGGGGGGACGGAGAAGGCUAUGUUGGCCGGGCGACGGUUGUCCCGGUUUAAGCGUGUAGGCUGGUUUUCCAGGCAAAUCCGGAAAAUCAAGGCUGAGGCGUGAUGACGAGGCACUACGGUGCUGAAGCAACAAAUGCCCUGCUUCCAGGAAAAGCCUCUAAGCAUCAGGUAACAUCAAAUCGUACCCCAAACCGACACAGGUGGUCAGGUAGAGAAUACCAAGGCGCUUGAGAGAACUCGGGUGAAGGAACUAGGCAAAAUGGUGCCGUAACUUCGGGAGAAGGCACGCUGAUAUGUAGGUGAAGUCCCUCGCGGAUGGAGCUGAAAUCAGUCGAAGAUACCAGCUGGCUGCAACUGUUUAUUAAAAACACAGCACUGUGCAAACACGAAAGUGGACGUAUACGGUGUGACGCCUGCCCGGUGCCGGAAGGUUAAUUGAUGGGGUCAGCGCAAGCGAAGCUCUUGAUCGAAGCCCCGGUAAACGGCGGCCGUAACUAUAACGGUCCUAAGGUAGCGAAAUUCCUUGUCGGGUAAGUUCCGACCUGCACGAAUGGCGUAAUGAUGGCCAGGCUGUCUCCACCCGAGACUCAGUGAAAUUGAACUCGCUGUGAAGAUGCAGUGUACCCGCGGCAAGACGGAAAGACCCCGUGAACCUUUACUAUAGCUUGACACUGAACAUUGAGCCUUGAUGUGUAGGAUAGGUGGGAGGCUUUGAAGUGUGGACGCCAGUCUGCAUGGAGCCGACCUUGAAAUACCACCCUUUAAUGUUUGAUGUUCUAACGUGGACCCGUAAUCCGGGUUGCGGACAGUGUCUGGUGGGUAGUUUGACUGGGGCGGUCUCCUCCUAAAGAGUAACGGAGGAGCACGAAGGUUGGCUAAUCCUGGUCGGACAUCAGGAGGUUAGUGCAAUGGCAUAAGCCAGCUUGACUGCGAGCGUGACGGCGCGAGCAGGUGCGAAAGCAGGUCAUAGUGAUCCGGUGGUUCUGAAUGGAAGGGCCAUCGCUCAACGGAUAAAAGGUACUCCGGGGAUAACAGGCUGAUACCGCCCAAGAGUUCAUAUCGACGGCGGUGUUUGGCACCUCGAUGUCGGCUCAUCACAUCCUGGGGCUGAAGUAGGUCCCAAGGGUAUGGCUGUUCGCCAUUUAAAGUGGUACGCGAGCUGGGUUUAGAACGUCGUGAGACAGUUCGGUCCCUAUCUGCCGUGGGCGCUGGAGAACUGAGGGGGGCUGCUCCUAGUACGAGAGGACCGGAGUGGACGCAUCACUGGUGUUCGGGUUGUCAUGCCAAUGGCACUGCCCGGUAGCUAAAUGCGGAAGAGAUAAGUGCUGAAAGCAUCUAAGCACGAAACUUGCCCCGAGAUGAGUUCUCCCUGACUCCUUGAGAGUCCUGAAGGAACGUUGAAGACGACGACGUUGAUAGGCCGGGUGUGUAAGCGCAGCGAUGCGUUGAGCUAACCGGUACUAAUGAACCGUGAGGCUUAACCUUACAACGCCGAAGGUGUUU
rnacentral:rRNA from 1 species